GAUGAACGCUGGCGGCGUGCCUAAUACAUGCAAGUCGAGCGAACAGAUGAGGAGCUUGCUCCUCUGACGUUAGCGGCGGACGGGUGAGUAACACGUGGAUAACCUACCUAUAAGACUGGGAUAACUUCGGGAAACCGGAGCUAAUACCGGAUAAUAUAUUGAACCGCAUGGUUCAAUAGUGAAAGACGGUUUUGCUGUCACUUAUAGAUGGAUCCGCGCCGCAUUAGCUAGUUGGUAAGGUAACGGCUUACCAAGGCAACGAUGCGUAGCCGACCUGAGAGGGGGAUCGGCCACACUGGAACUGAGACACGGUCCAGACUCCUGCGGGAGGCAGCAGUAGGGAAUCGUCCGCAAUGGGCGAAAGCCUGACGGAGCAACGCCGCGUGAGUGAUGAAGGUCUUCGGAUCGUAAAACUCUGUUAUUAGGGAAGAACAAAUGUGUAAGUAACUAUGCACGUCUUGACGGUACCUAAUCAGAAAGCCACGGCUAACUACGUG
rnacentral:rRNA from 1 species